UACGGAGGAGGCAAGCGUUAUCCGGAAUUAUUGGGCGUAAGGCGUCCGUAGGUGGUGAUUCAAGUCAGCGGUUAAAGCGUGGGGCUUAACCUCAUACAGGCCGUUGAAACUGGAUUGCUAGAGUGCGGUAGGGGUCGAGGGAAUUCCCAGUGUGGCGGUGAAAUGCGUAGAUAUUGGGAAGAACACCGGUGGCGAAAGCGCUCGGCUGGGCCUGCUCUGACACUGAGGGACGAAAGCUAGGGGAGAGAAAGGG
rnacentral:rRNA from 1 species